rnacentral:rRNA from 1 species
UUGGAUCCUGGCUCAGAAUCAACGCUGGCGGCGUGCCUAACACAUGCAAUUCGAACGCGAAAGUCCCGCAAGGGAUGAGUAGAGUGGCAAACGGGUGAGUAACACGUGGGUGACCUGCCCUCGAGUGGGGGAUAACGUCCCGAAAGGGAUGCUAAUACCGCAUGAUAUCCCGCCUUUGAACAGGUGGAGAUCAAAGCUGUGGAUCGCAAGACCUAGCACUCGAUGAGGGGCCCGCGCCUGAUUAGCUAGUUGGUGAGGUAACGGCUCACCAAGGCGACGAUCAGUAUCCGGCCUGAGAGUGCGGACGGACACACUGGGACUGAGACACGGCCCAGACUCCUACGGGAGGUAGCAGUGGGGAAUUGUUCGCAAUGGGCGCAAGCCUGACGACGCAACGCCUCGUGGAGGAUGAAGACCCUCGGGUCGUAAACUCCUUUCGAUCGAGACGAUUGGCCUCCGGGUGAACAAUCCGGAGGAGUGACGGUACCGAGAGAAGAAGUCCCGGCUAACUCCGUGCCAGCAGCCGCGGUAAUAAGGU